rnacentral:rRNA from 1 species
UACGUAGGGGGCAAGCGUUGUCCGGAAUUAUUGGGCGUAAAGAGCGCGUAGGCGGUCCGAUAAGUCGGCUGUGAAAGUCAGGGGCUCAACCCUUGAAAGCCGGCCGAUACUGUCGGACUAGAGUCCGGAAGAGGCAAGUGGAAUUCCCGGUGUAGCGGUGAAAUGCGCAGAUAUCGGGAGGAACACCCGUGGCGAAAGCGGCGCGCUGGACCACUACUGACGCUGAGGAACGAAAGCUAGGGGAGACGAACAGGAGUUAGAACUGAUCCUUGUACG